AAAAAAGCUAAGAUUUUAUUUGAAAAACCGAAAUUUUCAACUAUAAGUUAUCAAAAAAGCACACCCAAGUGCGUAUAAAAAACUGCACAACCAUACUGCUUUC